UGGGGAAUAUUGCACAAUGGGCGAAAGCCUGAUGCAGCGACGCCGCGUGAGGGAUGACGGCCUUCGGGUUGUAAACCUCUUUCAGCAGGGAAGAAGCGAAAGUGACGGUACCUGCAGAAGAAGCGCCGGCUAACUACGUGCCAGCAGCCGCGGUAAUACGUAGGGCGCAAGCGUUGUCCGGAAUUAUUGGGCGUAAAGAGCUCGUAGGCGGUUAGUCGCGUCUGCUGUGAAAACUCGAGGCUCAACCUCGGGCUUGCAGUGGGUACGGGCUGACUAGAGUGCGGUAGGGGUGACUGGAAUUCCUGGUGUAGCGGUGGAAUGCGCAGAUAUCAGGAGGAACACCGAUGGCGAAGGCAGGUCACUGGGCCGCAACUGACGCUGAGGAGCGAAAGCAUGGGAGCGAACAGGAUUAGAUAGCCCUGGUAGUCCAUGCCGUAAACGUUGGCACUAGGUGUGGGUCCAUUCCACGGAUUCCGUACCGCAGCAAACGCAUUAAGUGCCCGCUGGGGAGUACGGCCGCAAGGCUAAAACUCAAAUGAAUUGACGGGGUCAUAGCUGUUUCCU
rnacentral:rRNA from 1 species